GCGACCCAGGUCAGGCGGGAUUACCCGCUGAG
rnacentral:rRNA from 1 species